GACGAACGCUGGCGGCGUGCCUAAUACAUGCAAGUAGAACGCACAGUUUAUACCGUAGCUUGCUACACCAUAGACUGUGAGUUGCGAACGGGUGAGUAACGCGUAGGUAACCUGCCUGGUAGCGGGGGAUAACUAUUGGAAACGAUAGCUAAUACCGCAUAAUAUUAAUUAUUGCAUGAUAAUUAAUUGAAAGGUGCAAUUGCACCACUACCAGAUGGACCUGCGUUGUAUUAGCUAGUAGGGGAGGUAACGGCUCACCUAGGCGACGAUACAUAGCCGACCUGAGAGGGUGAUCGGCCACCCUGGGACUGAGACACGGCCCAGACUCCUACGGGAGGCAGCAGUAGGGAAUCUUCGGCAAUGGACGAAAGUCUGACCGAGCAACGCCGCGUGAGUGCAGAAGGUUUUCGGAUCGUAAAGCUCUGUUGUAAGAGAAGAACGGGUGUGAGAGUGGAAAGUUCACACUGUGACGGUAUCUUACCAGAAAGGGACGGCUAACUACGUG
rnacentral:rRNA from 1 species